rnacentral:sRNA from 1 species
CUCGCAUAUGCUCAGUUCAUGAACGCACACGUUUACACACAAGCAUACAAUUUUCUUUGUGUUCUUUGACAAAACGUCAAUCAGCUUGAUUGCAAGAUUGCGAAUUGCACCAUAUGAUUUGUGAUUGUUGUACAAAUGAGACCACCUUUAAUUGAUUCAUCAUCUGUUUGUACUAUAAAGUUAAAUACAUUAUUUAUCGAAGAAGUACGGACACACCAACAACUUGCGCCCUAGGAAUAUGUUAAAGUGCAUAGAAUAUUAUAAAAAAGCAAUUAAAUAUGAGAAAAAUAUGUUUGGUUUAAUUUAAAACGUUUGGUAUUUUUACGGUGGUUGCGGAUUUGGAGGUACAUUUGAUGAUCGUUCGCCCCGUAGACGAUGCGAGUGGAAACAAUCUAAGAGCAAUAGGCGGUUCGACCUUAAAGACUCUGUUGCCAUAGCCGAUGGCCCCGCAAUACCAACUCUCAGUUGCUUGGGCCACCGAGUGUCAAGUUUGCAAAAUUGUGCGCUUGUUGCGUGGUUUUAACAAAUUGCUCAUCCCGACAAUCAUCCAAAAUUUUUUUCCGGUAUCCCCAGCUGAAGUAAUAUUUGGCCUUAGAAUUACAACGCCAGCGCUACAAAAUCAUCCAAAUUUGGUCUCAGCCACACAUGCUUCAGCUCAGCCACACAUGUUGCAUACCAUUUUUUAUUGGCAUACUUCCGUUUCUGCAAAGACAGUUGAUGUCCAUACAAUGUUAACACAGCCGCUAGGAUAACGCAAAAAUAGUCCAAAAUUCCAUUACAAGUAAAACAAAAGACACCACAACGACUUCAAACCCAAACGCUUUAUCCAUAGCUUAUCCAAAAAAACACAAAAUGAGCAUUUUAUGAGCAAACCCAAGGACACCCAUAGUGCUGCCAAAUGUACCUCAGUAACAUCAACAACGUAAUCAACUCAAUUCCAUGGCAGUCGGUUGUGCGGACCGGAUGGGCCCGACAUAAUCCUUCAUCAGCAAGAGCUACCACCCUGGUGUACAACACACUGCAACAACAACAACAUUAACAUCAACUGCCUAAGCAUUUAAGUCGACAUCAUCAUCGUCGUCAAAUCGUUAUUAUACGCAUACAUACGAUGAUACAGGUGGUGGCCGUAAGUGCUACGCUCGUCUCCAUCCCCUUGAUAAUAAUUGUCGCAAGAAGUAUGGGCACACCGACUAUUUCCGCCCUGAGAAGAAGUUGAAGUAUAUUAUAUGUUGACGACUAUUAUAAUACAAGAAAUAAAAAAUGAUAAAAAUAUGUUUGGUUAAAUUAA